rnacentral:rRNA from 1 species
CCUACGGGAGGCAGCAGUGGGGAAUAUUGGACAAUGGGCGAAAGCCUGAUCCAGCCACGCCGCGUGUGUGAAGAAGGCCUUCGGGUUGUAAAGCACUUUCAGUGGGGAAGAAAGCCUUGGGGCUAAUACCCUCGAGGAAGGACAUCACCCACAGAAGAAGCACCGGCUAACUCCGUGCCAGCAGCCGCGGUAAUACGGAGGGUGCGAGCGUUAAUCGGAAUUACUGGGCGUAAAGCGCGCGUAGGCGGUCUGAUAAGCCGGUUGUGAAAGCCCCGGGCUCAACCUGGGAACGGCAUCCGGAACUGUCAGGCUAGAGUGCAGGAGAGGAAGGUAGAAUUCCCGGUGUAGCGGUGAAAUGCGUAGAGAUCGGGAGGAAUACCAGUGGCGAAGGCGGCCUUCUGGACUGACACUGACGCUGAGGUGCGAAAGCGUGGGUAGCAAACAGGAUUAGAUACCCCAGUAGUC